ensembl:rRNA 5S_rRNA 5S ribosomal RNA
CUCCAUGGCCAUAUUUCCCUGAACGUCUUUGGUCUCAGCUGAUCUUGGAAACUAAGCAAGGUGAGGCUUCUUUAGUACUUGGAUGGCAGACCACCUCGGGAUACUAGGUGCCGUAGGCU